rnacentral:rRNA from 1 species
GAUGAACGCUGGCGGCGUGCUUAACACAUGCAAGUCGAACGAUGAAGCCCAGCUUGCUGGGUGGAUUAGUGGCGAACGGGUGAGUAACACGUGAGUACCCUGCCCUUAACUCUGGGAUAAGCCUGGGAAACUGGGUCUAAUACCGGAUAGGAGCGUCCACCGCAUGGUGGGUGUUGGAAAGAUUUAUCGGUUUUGGAUGGACUCGCGGCCUAUCAGCUUGUUGGUGAGGUAAUGGCUCACCAAGGCGACGACGGGUAGCCGGCCUGAGAGGGUGACCGGCCACACUGGGCCUGAGACACGGCCCAGACUCCUACGGGAGGCAGCGGUGGGGAAUAUUGCACAGUGGGCGCGAGCCUGAUGCAGCGGCGCCGCGUGUGGGAUGACGGCCUUCGGGUUGUAAACCUCUUUCGGUAGGGAAGAAGCGAGAGUGACGGUACCUGAAGAAGAAGCACCGGCUAACUACGUG